GUCAUUGUGGCGCAGGUGCUAGAGCGGGUUGUCCACUAAUCAUAGUGUUGGUGGUUCGAUCCCGCCCACAUGACU